UUGUCAUCCUUUUAUGUCAAAAUAUUAGUUAGAUGACGUUUGCCGUUCAUCGUUUACUUUACGGUAUUUACUGUAGGUCUUAAUGCAAGGUUGAUAAAUCAGUGUAUUUUUUAUUUAUUCUUAUAGAAACUUUCAUACUAUGAUGACUUUUAGGAUACCAAAAAUGUACAACAUUAGAACUACUCUAUUUUUAUUAACUGCGAUUAUUUACUUAAUAGAACCAACAGAUAGUGGAGCUGUACAGCUUACUGAACAAAAUUUAGAUAAUGUAUUGGCUUCCAAUGAAUUAGUAUUUAUAAAUUUUUAUGCCGACUGGUGUAGGUUUAGUAAUCUGUUGAUGCCUAUAUUUGAUGAAACGGCAGAAGCAAUAGCCAAAGAAUUUCCAGAAGCUGGAAAAGUUGUGAUAGGUAAAGUGGAUUGUGAUAAAGAAAGCAGUAUAUCUUCAAAGUACCACAUCACAAAAUAUCCAACCCUAAAAGUGAUUCGUAAUGGCCAGCCAGCAAAGAGAGAGUAUAGAGGACAAAGAUCAGUAGAGGCUUUUACAACUUUUAUUAAGAAACAGUUAGAAGACCCAGUGAAAGAGUUUAAACAACUAAAAGAAUUGGGAGAAUUAGAAUCAGAGAAGAGGAUCAUCAUAGGUUACUUCGAUCGUCGUGACCAGCCACAGUACAGUAUUCUCCGUCGCGUAGCCACCAACCUCAAAGACGACUGCGACUUCCAUGUCGGGUUCGCUGAAGCUUCCCAACAAAUGCAUCCCGCAGGUCAGCCCAUCAUAGUCUUUAGACCCGACAAGAUUCGUACAAACGAUCGUGACGAAACUUAUCCCGGAGGUUUCACCAACUUCGAUGAGUUGCACAAUUGGGCAUUGGAGAAAUGCGUGCCCUUGGUUAGAGAAAUUACCUUCGAGAACGCUGAAGAAUUGACAGAAGAAGGAUUGCCAUUCUUGAUUCUUUUCCAUGCUCCUGACGAUAAAGACAGCAUUAGGACGUUUAAUCAAAUUGUGUUGACCGAGUUGUAUUCGGAGAAAUCAUCGAUCAACUUCCUUACCGCUGAUGGCAAGAAAUUCGCCCAUCCACUCCACCAUCUCGGCAAAUCAGAAAAGGAUCUGCCACUUAUUGCCAUCGACAGCUUCAGACAUAUGUACCUAUUCCCCAAUUAUCAAGACAUCAACGUCCCCAACAAAUUGAAGCAAUUCCUCAAGGACCUCUACUCUGGCAAAUUGCACAGAGAGUUCCAUUAUGGUCCUGAUUCGGACAGUAACACCGAGCAGCAACAAACAACACCACCCGACAGUACUUUCAAGAAAUUAGCUCCGUCGAAGAAUAGGUAUACUUUGUUAGGAAGGGAUGAAUUGUAGGUAUUUUUUCAAAUUAAUAAAUCAAUUUUUGUUUUAUAAAAAGGUACUUUAUAAGGUUUGUUCCAACACACAAUUUUUUGGUCCAGAAAUCGUCACGAAACUACUUGUGCCGUUUUUAUGCGCAUAUUCAUCAUUUGUAUCGUCCGAUGUCGCUAAUUCGAAAACCGAUCCUAGUGCGCAGGUCAGCCCAACCAGUACUUGCAUUUAUCUGAGUACUGAAAUGAUCGUCAAGAAACUGUCACUGGUCGAGUGACAAUUUUUGUUGGAAAGUAUUUUGUUUACUGCGCAGGAGCGUGAUAUUUACUUGACGGUUCAUCGCUGUAUUGGAACAAACCUAUAAUAGUGACAGACGUGAAAAAAGUUGUGAUUAAAGUAAGUAGUCAAAUCAACUGAUACGUGAAUCUUUUGUAGUUAAAAAGUUCCAGUUUUUAUUGGUAUUAUAGUAAAAUAUAUUUAGAAAUAGUUGGUAGUGUAGUUAUAUAUUUUUAUUGUUGGGAAGCUAUAUCUGCAAAGGAAACUGGAAUUUUUGCGGUUUAGAAUAAAUCAGUUGCUUGUUUCACUUUCACGGCUAGUGAUGUUCAGCAAAAUUAAAAGUGAGCUGUAAAUUUUAUUUUUCUUAUGUUUUUCAAUUCAUAGAUUUCUGUAAAACUAAACCCAUCGGGCUCGGUUCUGUUAAAUAUAAUAUAGUCAUUUACUGUCUUUAACGUAUUUACUGUAUUGCCCUCAUUUUGUGCUGUUUCAAAAUAGACAGAUUUAUUUUUGUUCUUAGUGUUAUUCAUUUUAAAACUUACUUAAUUUUGUACACAAUGGCCGUUACGGUCCAAAAGCUUUUUACAGAUGAUGCUUGAACUUUCCUGUGCCGAUGUUAUAGAAUUGUAGCGCCAAUCCUUUAAGGAAUCGAGUAACCUCUUCUUUGACUUUGAUUAUCAUCGCUACUAAGCUUAAGCCACCCAAGUGUUGUUUUAAUUUUAGCAAUAAGUGAUAAUCACUUGGUGCUAUGUCCUGGCUGUAGGGGGGUUGGAUCCAACAGGCCAGCCAAAACCUCUUAGCAGUUGUUCAGUUUGAUAUGAGACAUGAAGUCGAGCGUUGUCAUGGAGAAGCCUCAUACCACUAUUGGACAAUCGUCCACGCAAUCGGUUUUGGAUCGCAAGUCUUUUUAUUUAUUUAUGACUCACAAUAUCUGUCGAAGUUCACUAUAGUGAUGUUGAUUAUACAGUCGAACCCGCUUAUUGGAAUAGCCUUCGUGCUAAGCAAAGGUAUUCCUAUAGCCGGGAUAUUCUAAUAACCGAUCAUUUGUGGAUAGUAGAAACGUUUCAGGGCCUCAAAUUUCUAUUCCUUAAAGCGGGAUAUUCCUAUUCGCGGUAUUCUAAUAAGCGGGUUCGACUGUAGUUACUUUCGAGAAUUCGUUACAAAUCGUUACUUUUUUAUAAAGUAUUUACAGUAUUCGUUACUUUGAUUACUAUGAUUACUUUUGUAUUUGAGUACCGGUAAUCAUAUCGAGAAUCGUAUUUCUCAGUAGAUACAGUCGGAAAAAUGAAAGAAUACCAUGAACGAUCACAUCAAUCACUUAUUUUGUAUUUGCUAUCUUUUUCUAUAACAAACGUUUGUUAUUUAUAGAAAAAGACAGCAAAUACAAAAUAAGUGAUUGGUGUGACCGUUGAUAGGUAUUCUUUCAUUUUUCCGACUGUAGGUAUUUUGUAUAGGUAUUCCGAUAUAACAACGACCUUCACCGAUCUGUUUAAGGGAUAAAAAUGAUUUGAUUACUAUGAUUACUUUUGUAUUUGAGUACCGAUAAUCAUAUCGAGAAUCGUAUUUCUCAGUAGGUAGGUAUUUUGUAUAGGUAUUUCGGUAUAACAACGACCUUCACCGAUCUGUUUAAGGGAUAAAAAUGAUGUGAUUACUAUGAUUACUUUUGUAUUUGGGUACCGGUAAUCAUAUCGAGAAUCGCAUUUCUCAGUACCUAGGUAGGUAUUUUGAAUAGGUACCUAUAGAUAUAGACCUAGAUAAAAACAUAGGGUUCUCGCAUUCGAUCUUUGUUAAUGACAUACAUAUUUUACGUAUACCAUUAUACCUCCCUCUGUUUCAUCUUCUCCUCACCCUCACACCCUUAAAACGCUUCAUACCGAUAACGAUAUUCAAUAACACUCGUAAAAUACCGGUCCCGUCCGUUACUCGCUCGGAUAUUAUAGGUAGAAAGUAAUCAAGUGUACUAGUUGUAGAUACAAUAGUCGUUAUUCGCUCUGAUACGAUUGGUACGAAGUAAUCAGAGCAAUCAAAGUAGAUACAAUAGUCGUUACUCGCUCUGAUACGAUUGGUACUAAGUAAUCAGAGUAAUCAAAGUAGACACAGUAGUCGUCACUCGCUCUGAUACUAUUGGUACGAAGUAAUCAGAGUAACCAAAGUAACGAUUUGCCUUUUCGUAUAGUAAUCGUUACUUUCAGUAUUCGUAAGUAACGAGUAUUUUGUAACUAAUAGUUACUUUUUCAACAUCACUGGUUCACUGUUGUUUCAUGAAAUCAGAAAAUUUUUCGUGAGCCAUGUAAAAAUAUUAUGGCCCUAAUUUCAUAAUGUAAAUUAAAUUUUAAUACAUUAAGCAGUAUAAAGUUACUGUCAGAUCUUUUCUACCGCCAUUGUUUAUUGAUAUAAAUUAUUUUCCGGUAGCUUGGGUUAUAUAUUAAAAAAACUUUAUUUUAAUACAUAAUAUUGGAAUUUUUAUACAGUACUCUGUGCUGCUUCCUUCAUUGCUGUUGUGGAAUUUUAUUGACUUCUAGAAUUGUAUAUUUGACUAUGUUAGAAACCAUCCUGAUAUUUAAUUUUAUCUAUCGGUAUUUUAACUUUACUUUUCCGUUUAUUUAAAAGAAGGUCUUCUGUGGGUUCAAAUUUUGCUGAACAGACUGAACAGAAAUUUUAAAUCUCAUGGCUGUCGCUACCAAAGCUUUUUUCAAAACCAACUAUUGUCAACUUAUUUUAAAACCAACCAAUUAUUAUCAUCACCAACACCGAUUAGAAACUAUAAAACAACAAAAUUUAGGAAAUUUUCAAUAUUUUCUAAGAUAUUCAGUAAUGUGACUACGUUUUGAAAGUUUCUUCCAAGUGGCUGAAGAUACAGAUGAUUACAAAAUAGUAUGAAUUUCAAAAAAGAAAUAACAGAGCUGGUAUUAUGGCAUAAGAAAGAUCGUUCUGUUUAUCGUCGUAACAUACCGUAAAAUAACGUAUUCCUCUGUACGAUAAUGAAGUCGGGAUAAGGAAGUGAAGUGAUACGAAAAUAUUUCAAAAAUACAGCAUCAGUAAAAGCAAUUAUCUUAUUAAGACGUUUUUUGUGACUAAUAUUUUUACUCGUACUCAUAAUGACAUAUUGAGCAUCUGAGCAAAUGAACAUGAGAAUUUAUAGCGCAGAAAAAUUCCGAUUUACAAAAAACGUAGGAGAUAUCUAUCGUAACCUAAAUUCUAUUAUUUAAAAGGAGGCAAAUUGUGUUCAUUUGAAACAAAUAGUUCGAUAUUAUUCUUUUACUAGCGUGUACUGACAUCUAUUUUGUCAUAAUUUUUUUUAUUUCAUUUAUAAAUAGUUGGUUUUGAACUAAAACCCCUCUAAACAUCUGUGGAUCCCAAAGAUUGUUAAAGAUUUUUUUAUUGUAAGCCAAUUCUUCCAUCUAAAUUAAUAAUGUUAAAGUUUAUUACACAUUUCGAUGGUUACUUUUUGGUCUAGAAAUAAUGUACAUAAUAAUUGUUCUCUUUUUGCGCUAUAUAACUUUAAAUUAAAUUAAAUCACAGAUAAAGUGUGUUGAUUGUCAUAAAAUUGGCUUAGAAGAUAUUUUUUGUAUUUUUUAAUCGUUUCGUGACUGUUUGACUAGAUAUUUCACCUUUUUUGUGGGGGGUGAGAAUCUUCAAAAGACCGUCUGGGUAGGUGUCCCAGGUGUGUCGGAUUCAGUCCGGCACGCUUCACCGCGUGCCGAGGCCGCCUACCGACUAAACUCACCCCCUCUUUCUGCUGCCGGGUCUGGAACCGCACUUAGCAUGAUAUAGGGUUAUCAAAUUUACUUUUAUACUUUUAACGCAAAACUGUUAAAUAAAAAUUAAGUUUUUCCUUUACAAUAGGAAUACUGCAGUUCAGAAAUGGGAUUACUGCAUUACAGAAAGAACAGAAAUGAUCAAAUAUGUUGAAAUUAUUGAUUAACCUGUAGAAACACUAAAAACUGAGUGAAUCUAUUUUUCCUUAUUAUUUUUUAAGAUCUACUUUUUACUUUAAUCAAGUAUUAUUAUCAACAAUUUAAUUACUGUUCGACAUUUUAGCCACUUUAAGGUUAAGUGAAUCAAUGAAAUGUGUAAUAAAUUAAAUAGCUAAAUUGUAUGUGCUAUUAUUAAUUUCAGUUUUAUGUACCAACUAAUAAAUGAGUUUCUCAAAUGAAGGUAUUAAGUGAGGAAAAUUUCUGAAUGAAAUUGAAAAAAUGGGUUUUAAGAGUAUCUCCGGGUUUUCAAACGAAAACAUCUUGUAUAGUCUGUUUUAAAUUAUUAGAGAAUUGUAAAGUCUAUCCACACUGUUAUAUAGCAUAUUUUAGCACAGGUAUUGUUAUUUAGUAUCUUUUUUACAUUCAUGUGAAGGUUUGUAACAAAAAAAUCAAGGUUAUUUUAACAAUAACGUCGCAAGUGUAAAAAAUACUUUCAUCCUUUUUAUUUUGGGUACUAUUGCUAAAAAUAGUCUAAAGGCGCAUUUAAAUCAAAGCGAACACGAACGAACGAACGAAUUCGUUCGUUAACUUUAUUGUAUUUGUACAGCGAAUCGAGCACGACCGAACGAAUUCGUUCGCAUUCGCACAUGUUCCAACCGAUGUCGGUAAGUGAGCGAAUCAUCAAAGGAAAUCGUUGUUCAAUGUGGACAGUGGAUAGACGGUAGCGAACGAAUUCGUUUAGAAGUACUGAUUUAAUUUAUUUACAAACAUUAGUUUGAGAGGGUUGUUUAUUGUGUAGUUGUGAAAACAUAAUUUUGCAAUAUGGAAUAUGCCUAUGAAACCCAAAAUCGAAGCUAUAUAAAAUAAUAAACAGAAAAACUGAUGCUUGUUUUAACAUUUCUAUAGGAAUGGGUUGUGAUGUCUCUGAACUAAAAAAAUGAAUUAGCUUCUGGCAUCAUUUAGACGAGAAAGACAAAAAGAGGGUUCGAAGUGGUUUAAUGUUUUUAUUGGAUAAAUUUCAACCCAGAAACACUAAUGAGGUAACCAAAUCAAAUUAAUUGCUAAAAUUAAUUAAAAGCAAAUUUAUUUUGAUACACCAAUUUUAUAAUUUAUUAUUUAAACAUAUAUAGUCAUAAUAUCAAGAGCAAGUAACUUUUUCGAGGAAGAAUUUUAAGAAAGCUGGUUCUUUAUGUUAUUUUCUAAGCUCCCUCAAACAGCGUAUAAUACCUGCUACCUGCUAUUUUUGUAAGCUAUUAUUGUAUUAAAAUUUACCCAGCAAGAAACACGAAAAUAAACUUAAACACAAUGUGUGACUAGUGUGACUGGCACUGGCCCAUCUUAAAAACAUCUGCGGGCAAUAUGCACUCCCGAGCAUCAACGAAUGCGAACGUUCGCUUCAAUGUAAAUGGCCCUACUUUGUAGCGAACGAAUGACCAAGCGAACACUUACGAAUUCGUUUCUUGGUUCGUUCGUUCGUGUUCGCUUUGAUUUAAAUGCGCCUUAACAAUGCAUCAAUAUAUAAUAUUUUAGGUACCUCUAUAACAAGGUGUGGAUUGAUUGAUAAAAAAAAACCAAAUUAUUAACUAAUAUUAUGUUUUUAACUACUUUUAGUGAUUUUUCCAUAUUAUGUCACAUAAAAAAUUCCCAUUAUUAAUCUGUAUAAUGUUUACAAGUAAUGAUAUAUUUCCUAUAUAUUUUUAUUUUUUUUUUUUUAAUGUUAAAUAAGUUGCUGGUUCUUAUCAUUUGUUGUGUUAAACUAUUAAUUAAGCUUGUCAUUGUUCAUACUCCUAUUGUUGAUAAGUAAACUUUAUUUUUCUAUUAGUUUUUUUAUUAUAUAUUCUGUGAUUUCUUUAACAUGCAUUGAUUGAGCUUAAAAAAAUAGUAAAAAACGGUUUUAAGUAAGAAAUUUUCCGUUUUAUUUAUGCUUAAAACUUACUAACAUUUCAUUUGACUUUCCUAUUACUGAAUAAUAUAAAAUGGGGUGAUGAAUAAAAAAAUAAACUGAGGCGAAUCUGUUUUCUUGAGUGUUCUUAUUUUUUGGCCAAAGGUUGUGGGUUCUAAAUUCUCCAAUUUUUUAGCGAACCAACUCUAUUUUAUUCAAGUAAGCCAUUACGGCCCAUGUUUAUUUAGUAUUGAGACUAAUUCCUAAAAGUAGGAAUGAAUUCAAACACAAUAUACUAAUAGUCCAAGAGGCAGCGCUGAAAAAUCUCUUUGAAUUUACUAAAGCUAAAUUUUUCACAGUUGAUUGCUGUGAUUGUGUAGAGAAACAUGCUGCGGUCGGUCAAGCGAAACGUAGAACACGGGUUACUGAGAGGGUAUCAAAGUUGCUUUCCUACGAAGGUAAUUAAAUCCAUGUACUAAGGCUGAAAAUCAAUACACACAUUCUAAAUUAAAUAUAAAUAAAAGUUGUUAUAGUCGGUCAGCUGUAUGACGGGGCAGAGCCGGUCGGUCGGCUUCAGUGAAUGUACAGGAUUAUGCACUAUAUUUUGACCCCCGUGUAAACUGCUUUAUUUACAGAAUUAGAAAAAAAUGUAAAAUACAAAAGUUAUUCGAUUUUUAAAUUAUGAUUUUUUAACAUAUAUAUCCUAAUAGUGACGUCAUCCAUUUGGGCGUGAUGACGUAAUCGACUAUUUUUUUUUAAAUGGGAAUAGGGGUCGAGUUCUAGCUGAUUUGAAAGGUUAUUCAAUUCCCUAUUCAGUAAUUUAAACAUUAACAUGAUUAAUUAUACAGGGUGUCCAAAAAAAAGUUUUAAUUAAAUUAAUUGUUUAAUUAAUAAUUAAAAAAAAAUUUUUGGGCACUCUGUAUAAAUAAUGAUCUUAAUGUUUAUAGUACUGUAUAGAGAAUUGAAUAACCUUUCAAAUAAGCUAGCACACGACCCCUAUUCUCAUUUAAAAAAAAUAGUCGAUUACGUCAUCACGCCCAGAUGUAUGACGUCACUAGUACGAUAUAUUUGUCAAAAAAUCAUAAUUAAAAAAUCGAAUACCUUUUGUAUUUUACAUUUUUUUCUAAUUCUGUAAAUAAAGCAGUUUACAAGGGGGUCCAAAUAUAGUGAAUAACCCUGUACAUUCAUUGGGGCCGACCGAUCGGCUCUGUCCCGUCAUAUAUCUGACCGACUAUAAUAACUUUUAUUUAUAUUCAAUUUAGAACGUGUGUACUGAUUUUCAGCCUUAGUAAAUGGAUUUAAUUACCUUCGUAGGAAAGCAACUUUGAUACCCUCUCAGUAACCCCUGUUCUACGUUUCGCUUGACCGACCGCAGUAUGUUUCUCUACACAAUCACAGUAAUCAACUGUGAAAAAUUUAGCUUUAGUAAAUUCAAAGAGAUUUUUCAGCGCUGCCUCUCCGUCUACAACCCAUUUGAAAUUAUCAAAUAGUACUUACUGUCUAUAGAACAAACUUUUAAUUUGCUAUUAUAAAGAAACAUCAAGAUUAAAUACAAUGUUUCACUUGUUGCGUCGCAAAUAGUAAAGCUUGGCAAGCAAGGUGUAGAUUUUUAACAAUGUAGCUUUAUCUUCUCUUGUCCAUAAUGCUUAAAAGGUAUAACUAGAAGAGAUAAUGAUGGGAACUAGACAGACAAUAGAUGAAACCAAAUUGUAACAUGUAAGAAGAAUAAGGAUCAAUUUGACAUACUUGAAAGUAAGGUGCCAAACAGUGUUAGAGUGAACAGAGACAAAAAUAGAGUACAAUAAACACCUAACUGCAAAAAAAACACAAGGGUUGGCCAAUUUUAUAACAAGAACAGUGUAUUAUUUAGGGAAUAAAUUAAGCACGGUAAAUUUUUAUGAAUGUAUUUUUGGUCGAGAGAGGACUGUCUAACUAGCCGAUCAUUUACAUUGAAUGGAACAAAACAAACACAGCGAAUGAAAAUAAUUCUGGACUAUAACUAUACUCUAUAAACAAAUGCACAUAUAGAUAUUAAAUUAUAUUUCAAACAUAAAGUUUGAAAGGAGCAUAUUUUUUGUGUGUGAAUUUGAUGGCCUUGGCCGAGCCAAUUAGCCAGACAUUUUGUUAUUUUAAAAACAAACAAAUUUGUUUUUUCAAUCAGAGGAAUUGUUUCUUUAUUUCUAACUCUAAAUACAUAACAAAUUAACAUAUUACAAUUAUUAUCUAAAUAAUCCACUAUUUUGGUUGUAAAUAUUCUUUCUUGUACAUAUUUAUUUUUUUUGUAUUUUUUUAUAUCUUUAAUUUGUUUUUUUUAUUAUUUUUUUUAUUAUUAUUUUUUAAUAACUGUUUUUUACUACGCUAAGACAUAAACCCGAUUCAACAUCUCGGAGGUUUACAUCUUUUUAGUUUUUUUUUUGCUUUUUUUACUUUUUUUGCUUUUUUUCUCUUUUUUUUUGCUUUUUCUUUAUAAGGGGCAUAUUGUUACAAAUACUACCAGUUUGAAUAGAAAUGAAUUAUACAGAAAUUCUAAUUUAAUCUUACCUAAAUUGUAGCAUCGAUGUAUAGCCGCAGUUAUGUUGGCUGCAGUGUCUUCACUAACCCUUAAGAUUUCUUGAAGCCAAUUUAUUAUUUGAAACAUGUUCCUUCCGUUUUGAAGAUCCCAUUUUUAAAAGAAGCUUCAGAUAACUAGUAGAUCCACGAGGAAAAUAAACUUCCUGUAGCUGGCUGUAUACCAUAAAUCACAAAAAUACUAGAUUUGUUGUAAAAGGUAUAUUUUACAAUACAAUAAAUAAGGGUCAUAAGACAAAACGUUUUCGGAUUAAGAAAUCCAUCAUCGGUGUUCUAAAAGCCAAAAAAAUAGCAUGCCUGAGCCACCAAAAUGUGUUGGGUAAAAACCCUUUAAAUGUAAAAGAUUAUGUUAUAUUACAUAUUUAUAUAAUAUGUAAAUGAUGUUCUAGAUAUGCAUGGAUGUUACCCAGGGCAACACAGGACUCUUCCCACGUGGAUGGAAUUUUUUUGGAGAAAACCUCACAUAUUGGAUUUCAAUGGCCAACUCAAUGGCAACUUCAGUUGACCAUUGAAAUCCAAUAUGUGAGGUUUUCUCAAAAAAAAAUCCAACCACUUGGGAAGAGUCCUGUGUUGCCCUUGGUAACAUCCAGGCAUAUCUAGAACAUCAUUUACAUUUUAUAUAUAACAUAACAUAAUCUUUUACAUUUAAAGGGUUUUUACCCAACACAUUUUGGUGGCUCAGUUAUGCUAUUUUUUUUUUUUUGGCUUUUAGAACACUGAUGAUAGAUUUCUUAAUCCGAAAACGUUUUGUCUUGUGACCCUUAUUUAUUGUAUUUUAAAAUAUACCUUUUACAACAAAUCUAGUAUUUUUUAACUAGUAGAUGUUUAAUCAAAAUUUGGUCUUCUACGGAACUGAUUAAAAUUGUUAAGAUCCAGAGCCCUGAUUUUAUUUAACACUUUGACUAAUAUGUAUAUGAAUUUGAUACACAUUAGUAGAACUUAUUCAAGCGACAAAAAGUGGCCAGGCUGUGAAAACUUAUGAGGAUAAAUAUGUCUAGGAGUUAAAGUGUUUUAAUUUCGAUGUCUAAAUUUAUUCAUUUCGAUUUUAGUUACAACUGGGGAUAUUUACUUUAUCACUCUGUCACUGCUCAGAAUUUGCGAUGGCCCUCUUAGCUUAUAGGCAAACGUUUGUUUACGUUACAUAUUUCAUUUGAGUUGGUCAAUCACGUUGUGGCAAUUCUCAAUUAUUAUAUUUCUAAUUUAAUACUAUCCUCUCUAAUUCCUCCAAAACCAGCAAAUUUCCAUAAAACGCAGCCAUAUUAAUACUUUUUGGUUCAGUUUUCCUUGCAAGAAACAAUCAAAACACGACACCUCCAAAACUAAACCUAGCCUCGCUUCUGCAAGUCCAGCCAGUCAUGUCCAUGUCAGAUUAAUUUCGACCCGAAAUGAAAUUUCAACCACUUUUUUGCAGUUGAAAUUAAUUUUGAUAUAUUAUCGAAAACUAAUGACGUUAGCUCCACCGAAAUCCACAAUGCUCGGAAAGUCGCAUUUCGACGUCGCCAUAUUAAUUUCGACGUGUUUGAGUCGAAAUGUCAAGUAGAAUCAGGCCCAGGUCGUCGAAAUUCUCAAACUUUAUUGAUGGCCUUUGAAAACGCUACAAAAACGACAAAGAUGUUCUCGGUGUAAUGCAAGUAGUUGUUAUUUUAUUAUCUCUAUCGUGUUGUUCUGAAGCUAUUUUCUUGUGGCAUUUUUUAAUUAACUAUUUAGAUGGGAAAUAAGCCACAAUUAAAUUGAAAAAAAUAAUUUUAUUAAGGAAUUAUUAGCAAUAUUAUACAGGAACGCAACGCAUAAAUAUUGGCAAUAUCAUUUUAAAGUCUUCUACUUUAAAAUGUAUAAUAUAUGUCUGAAUUGCCGAUAUAAAUGAGUCAGAUUAAAUAAAUUAGAAGAACUUUUUACUAAGCAACCACAUUUUUGUUUAAUUUAGUAGUAUUUUGUAUUUCAACAACGACACCCGAUUUAGGCGUCGAAACGUUAAUAAAAUUUUUUUUCAAUUUAAUUGUGGCUUGUUUCCCAUCUAAAUAGUUAAUUAAAUCUAUCUUUUGGCAUUUUAACAACUUCAAGUAAUCGGUUAGCAGUGGUUAACAUUAUGAAACAUGACUCGGUCGCGCGUAGUUAACGUGGUUUACGUGCCCUCCGAUGCACGGUGAUGGCUCAGUUAAAUUAGAAACUUAAAAUUUUCUUGUGUCUAAGUCCAUUAAAAAACACAGUUCAUUGUCUGGUGAAAAAAACAGGUCUACAAGAAGUCUAAUUUUAGAACAAAAGUACUAAACUUCUAUACGUUCGGAAGCCUGGAUGAUAAAAAGAUCGAAUUUGAUUGACACCUCAUUUUGAAAGUUGUUCUAUAUUUGUAGGCAUAUUAUGGACUGACACAGUUAAAACCGAAAAAAAAUGUUGUAGAAGGGAUUGUAGGGAAGAAAACCAAUACCCAUAAAAAACUUUUGGGUUAAAAUAAUGGGUUAUGUAAUAUAGAAUUCAAUUGUAAUGCCUAAAAAAUUGGAAAAUAUAACUAUCUUUCUUGGCCUUUUCUUAUUAAUAUCAUAUCGUCUUAUGAAAUACGGUUGAAAAAACUUACAUAUUUGUAUAACUUCAUUCAAAUUGUCAAAUUAAAUUAUCAUGGUGUAGUGCUAACCCUAUUGUUUCAAUUAGAAAAAAAACUUUAAUAUUCUGUGAAUAUUAAUUAUUGCUUAUAAAAUGUUAUAUUAUUUUUUCUGUAUAUAUUGUAAAAAGUUAAUUUUUUUGAAAUAAAUUUUUACACAAGUA
rnacentral:misc_RNA from 1 species